UAAAAACCCCGACUUCGGAAGGGGUGUAUUUAUUAGAUACAAAACCAAAGCCCUUCGGGGCUCUUUGGUGAUUCAUGAUAACUAUACGAAUCGCACGGCCUUGCGCCGGCGAUGGUUCAUUCAAAUUUCUUCCCUAUCAACUUUCGAUGUUUGGGUAUUGGCCAAACAUGGUUGCAACGGGUAACGGAGGGUUAGGGCUCGACCCCGGAGAAGGAGCCUGAGAAACGGCUACUACAUCCAAGGAAGGCAGCAGGCGCGCAAAUUACCCAAUCCCGACUCGGGGAGGUAGUGACAAUAAAUACUGAUACAGGGCCCUUUCGGGCCUUGUAAUUGGAAUGAGUACAAUUUAGAUCCCUUAACGAGGAACAAUUGGAGGGCAAGUCUGGUGCCAGCAGCCGCGGUAAUUCCAGCUCCAAUAGCGUAUAUUAAAGUUGUUGUGGUUAAAAAGCUCGUAGUUGAACCUUGGGCCUGGCUGGCCGGUCCGCCUCACCGCGUGCACUGGUCCGGCCGGGCCUUUCCCUCUGUGGAACCCCAUACCCUUCACUGGACGUGGCGGGGAAACAGGACAUUUACUUU
rnacentral:rRNA from 1 species